AGCAGGUUAACAAGGAUGUACUACCUAGCGUGAAACCUGAGAUUGGGAGUAUAAAGUCUGCUGCUGCUAUAGUACAUGCUGAUUCAGUAGGGACUGAACUCACCACAGUCACAACUGCAGACUCACAGCCUGCUGACACAGCCCCCAAAACACACUUCACUGGCACAGACACCCUCUCCAACAUGCCCGUCUCAG